AAUGAACGCUGGCGGCGUGCUUAACACAUGCAAGUCGAGCGAGAAAGUUCCUUCGGGAAUGAGUAAAGCGGCGGACGGGUGAGUAACGCGUGAGAAUCUGCCCUUCAGUGAAGAAUACCUCCGAGAAAUCGGAGCUAAUACUGCAUACGUCCCUCCGGGGAGAAAGGUGGCUUUAUGCUGCCGCUGAAGAAUGAGCUCGCGUACUAUUAGCUUGUUGGUGGGGUAACGGCCUACCAAGGCGAUGAUGGUUAACCGGCCUGAGAGGGUGUACGGUCACAUUGGAACUGAGACACGGUCCAG
rnacentral:rRNA from 1 species